AACCAAUGGCCUCCGACAAAUGUUCUUACAGUCAAACUUGUCAGUCGGAUGAGUCCGGCAUCUUUCCUGAACGACAACAGAUUUAUGCUAAACCUUACCUGGACAGUUCAUGCAAGUCCACUGGGAAGAUGAACGUAUUAGCGGGACCGGUACAUAAUAACAGAGGAAAUCCGCUGUGAUAGAUAUGAACAGGCCCCCGACACCCGCAGGCCC